GAGGACCGUAUUCAUGGAAGAGGAUCGAACAGUAAAGAGCCCAGCAUUUGAUAAAAAUGAGAAUAUAUCGCCUCAAGCAGAAGCAGAUGAAGAUAUGGGAGAUGAAGUAGACAGUAUGUUGGAUAAAUCUGAAGUAAACAACCCAGCAAUUGGUAAAGAUGAAAAUAUAUCGCCUCAAGUAAAAGGAGAUGAAGACAUGGGAGAUGAAAUUGACAGUAUGUUGGCUACAUCUGGAGAUGUGUGCAGCUGAACAGAGCGUUGAGGAAACGUCAGUGAUUUUAUAACUACUUAUCAUGUUGGGAGAUUGUUGUGAUGAUUGCCUGGACUCUCAGAUGUUACACAGGAUUAUCUGAAUGAAACAUAGCAACUGUAACUUAAAUCAAGAAAGCUAUUUUGUGCGGACAUUAGAAGUGUGAAACUAAUUCUCAAAAGGUGUAUAUUAUCUGAAUCAACACUUAUAAUUUCCUACCCAUUUUACAACACAGCAAGUUCUUCAUGCCUAGCAGGAUUAUUCUGCUGCAUCAUUGGACUGAAAGUGAAUGGUCCAUGUGUUGCCACUGAUGUGAGCCAUUUGCCUGUUGUGCUUCAA
rnacentral:precursor_RNA from 1 species